rnacentral:rRNA from 1 species
AGAAUCAACGCUGGCGGCGUGCCUCAGGCAUGCAAGUCGAACGCGAAAGUCCCCUUCGGGGGACAAGUAGAGUGGCGCACGGGUGAGUAACACGUAGGUAAUCUACCUUCGGAUGGGGAAUAACAACCGGAAACGGUUGCUAAUACCGCAUAAUGCAGCGGCACCUAAUGGUGACAGUUGUUAAAGCGGGGGAUCGAAAGACCUCGCGUCUGAAGAGGGGCCUGCGGCGGAUUAGCUAGUGGAGGUAACGCUACAGGCACGAUCCGUA